AAAGUCUGACGGAGCAACGCCGCGUGAACGAAGAAGGUCUUCGGAUUGUAAAGUUCUGUGAUUCGGGACGAAAGGGUUUGUGGUGAAUAAUCAUAGACAUUGACGGUACCGAAAAAGCAAGCCACGGCUAACUACGUGCCAAGCAGCCGCGGUAAAUACGUAGGUGGCAAGCGUUGUCCGGAAUUAUUGGGCGUAAAGCGCGCGCAGGCGGUUUCUUAAGUCCAUCUUAAAAGCGUGGGGCUCAACCCCAUGAGGGGAUGGAAACUGGGAAGCUGGAGUAUCGGAGAGGAAAGUGGAAUUCCUAGUGUAGCGGUGAAAUGCCGUAGAGAUUAGGAAGAAUACCGGUGGCGAAGGCGACUUUCUAGACGAAAACUGACGCUGAGGCGCGAAAGCGUGGGGAGCAAACAGGAUUAGAUACCCUGGUAGUCCACGCCGUAAACGAUGGAUACUAGGUGUAAGAGGUAUCGACCCUCCUGUGCCGGAGUUAACGCAUAAGUAUCCCGCCUGGGAGUACGAUCGCAAGAUUAAACU
rnacentral:rRNA from 1 species